rnacentral:rRNA from 1 species
UACGGGAGGCAGCAGUGGGGAAUAUUGGACAAUGGGCGAAAGCCUGAUCCAGCCACGCCGCGUGUGUGAUGAAGGCCUUCGGGUUGUAAAGCACUGUCGGGAGGGACGAAGCCUUCGGGUUGACGGUACCUCGCAAGAAAGCACCGGCUAACUUCGUGCCAGCAGCCGCGGUAAUACGAAGGGUGCAAGCGUUGCUCGGAAUUACUGGGCGUAAAGCGACCGCAGGCGGUCCGGUAGGUCGGAUGUGAAAGCCCAGGGCUCAACCCUGGAACUGCAUUCGAAACCCUCGGACUUGAGUAUGGGAGAGGAGGGCGGAAUUCCUGGUGUAGAGGUGAAAUUCGUAGAUAUCAGGAGGAACGCUCGCGGCGAAGGCGGCUCUCUGGCCCAAUACUGACGCUCAUGGUCGAAAGCAUGGGUAGCGAACGGGAUUAGAUACCCCGGUAGUCCAUGCCGUAAACGAUGAAUGCUAGCUGAUGGAGGACUAUACCCNAUUCAUUGGCAAAGUAA